GGGCCCGCACAAGCGGUGGAGCAUGUGGUUUAAUUCGAUGCAACGCGAAGAACCUUACCAAGCCUUGACAUCCUCGGAACUUUCCAGAAAUGGAUUGGUGCCUUCGGGAACCGAGUGACAGGUGCUGCAUGGCUGUCGUCAGCUCGUGUCGUGAGAUGUUGGGUUAAGUCCCGUAACGAGCGCAACCCUUGUCCUUAGUUGCCAGCACUUCGGGUGGGAACUCUAGGAAGACAAACCUCGUGUAGAGGUGGGAAGGUGGGGACGACGUCAAGUCAGUAUGGCCCUUACGACCAGGGCUGCACACGUGCUACAAUGCCCAGUACAAUGGGAUGCAACGCCGCGAGGUUGAGCAAA
rnacentral:rRNA from 1 species